UAAAAAACGUAAGCAGGCGUUUCCUCAUCCCCAACUAUCUGAAAAACCAAAGUCCCUUCAGAUUCCUUUUCUGUUUCUUAUCUGCUCUUGUGCAUAUUGAUUCAUCUGAAAGAAGAAAAAUAAUCUUCAGAUUGGCCCAAUAUUUUCUAUCUUGCCUUCGCUCCGGUCACAACACUGAUGCCAAAAUCAUGAAACAACAUGAAAAACCUAACCUUGCUGUCGAUAAUCCUCGUCAACUGCCUCUUUUGCAAAAAGAAGAACCUCACCAAUCAAAUAAGAUUUUGCAUUUCUCUUUAACCCUUCUACAACCAGUAAAUGUGCUACACCAUUCACUUGUCUCUGUGCAUGUUUAAAGGCACACGCUUGGUAUAUUUCACAAAUAGCCCUGGCGUUUAUCAUGUGAGCACCUAUUACUCACAUUUAGAUUCCCUUUGUUUGUAGCUUCUGAAUCAUCGAUAAGGCAUCCCCUUCUAUCUCUACCAUAGUAAGUCCCACAUGCAGCCCCAUCUCAACUGCUUAUAAACAUGCCAAUGCCUCAGCUGCAAAUGGUGAAGGUAUGUUAUCAUGCAGUAAGCUUUUUGAAAAUAGUACUCUGCCAGUUGCAUCUUUGAUGAUAAUUUCAGGGCAUGAUUUAUUAUUUUGCUUACAAAAUGCUGCAUCAAAAUUUAUUUUAACAAAUUGGUCCUUUGGUGCUUUCAAUUGUGCUUGCACACCUUGCUUUACUGUUAUUUUUCAUUGAUUCCAUCAAUUUCUCCCAAAUAAUUCCUAAUAAAAUUUGCCGCAUCAAAGGUUGUUCCAUGUUUACCUUCAUGCAAUAGUUGGUUUCUCCUAGUCCAUAUAGCCCGCAAAGUACAACAAAAGAUUUCACAAAGGUAUUUUGAAUUAUUUUCGAAAAACUGAUUCACCCAAUCUUUAAUGUGCAUAUUUGAUGACAUUGUUGGCCACCUAAUGCCCAGCUGCUGGCAGAUCUCCUUUGAUUUCAGACAAUCCCGAAACACAUGUUCCACUGUUUCGAUUCCGUUCACACAUCUAGGGCAUUCUUGUAUUCCCAUUAAUCUUUUGUAAUUUAGAUUAGCAAAAGUAGGCAUAUAAUUCUUUGUAAUUCUUCAUACUGUAAUCUUUAACUUGGUGGGCAGAUCCGAUAGCCAUAACUUAGCCCCAUUUGUAAUUACCACAUUAUUUUCUUGUAACAACAAUUUGUACACAUUACGCACUGAAUACUCCAUCGACACCUCACCACCCCAAGCCAAGAAAUCCUCAUGUAGAAACUGUGUCAAAGGAAUACUUAAAAUUUAUUGAGCCUCCGCCUCGUCAAAGGUAGAUCGAAUAA